rnacentral:rRNA from 1 species
UGGCUCAGAUUGAACGCUGGCGGCAGGCUUAACACAUGCAAGUCGAGCGGGGGAAGGUAGCUUGCUACUGGACCUAGCGGCGGACGGGUGAGUAAUGCUUAGGAAUCYGCCUAUUAGUGGGGGACAACAUCUCGAAAGGGAUGCUAAUACCGCAUACGUCCUACGGGAGAAAGCAGGGGAUCUUCGGACCUUGCGCUAAUAGAUGAGCCUAAGUCGGAUUAGCUAGUUGGUGGGGUAAAGGCCUACCAAGGCGACGAUCUGUAGCGGGUCUGAGAGGAUGAUCCGCCACACUGGGACUGAGACACGGCCCAGACUCCUACGGGAGGCAGCAGUGGGGAAUAUUGGACAAUGGGGGGAACCCUGAUCCAGCCAUGCCGCGUGUGUGAAGAAGGCCUUAUGGUUGUAAAGCACUUUAAGCGAGGAGGAGGCUACUUUAGUUAAUACCUAGAGAUAGUGGACGUUACUCGCAGAAUAAGCACCGGCUAACUCUGUGCCAGCAGCCGCGGUAAUACAGAGGGUGCGAGCGUUAAUCGGAUUUACUGGGCGUAAAGCGUGCGUAGGCGGCUUAUUAAGUCGGAUGUGAAAUCCCCGAGCUUAACUUGGGAAUUGCAUUCGAUACUGGUGAGCUAGAGUAUGGGAGAGGAUGGUAGAAUUCCAGGUGUAGCGGUGAAAUGCGUAGAGAUCUGGAGGAAUACCGAUGGCGAAGGCAGCCAUCUGGCCUAAUACUGACGCUGAGGUACGAAAGCAUGGGGAGCAAACAGGAUUAGAUACCCUGGUAGUCCAUGCCGUAAACGAUGUCUACUAGCCGUUGGGGCCUUUGAGGCUUUAGUGGCGCAGCUAACGCGAUAAGUAGACCGCCUGGGGAGUACGGUCGCAAGACUAAAACUCAAAUGAAUUGACGGGGGCCCGCACAAGCGGUGGAGCAUGUGGUUUAAUUCGAUGCAAACGCGAAGAACCUUACCUGGCCUUGACAUACUAGA